UAUGCCAAGCAUGACAUGAAAUUGCAUUUUAUUUUGCAAUAAGAGUAUUUACGAUUUAAUUGUUUUUUUUUUUAUAUAAUUCCAAUUAUUUAAGAAAAUCGAGUAAGGAUAUUGUUGGUGUCCUUAACUCAAGAAUUUAGUUUUCAAUUAUUUAUUUACUAAAUUUUGAAAACCCGGCGUGAUGAAUCAAGUAUGUUUAGUACAUCCACUAAGACUUUAAGUUAGCUUCACGAGACCUAUUAAGAAUAGAAUUUCUUGUAGGCUUUAUGAACCAAGGGGAUUAGCGCUGCUUUCCCAAGACGAGUUUAUGUGAUUAUGAUCUUCAGGCUUUGCCUAUCCAGGUUGGCUGGCCGGUGCUGACGGGACGGAGCUGAGGCUAGAGUUAAAUUCCUAUGUUAGACUGCCGCUGUAGCAAUUACUCAUAUCAGUCUUUUGUUUUCCCAACUUAAGAUCUUCAUGUUAAAUUUCAAAUGAUAUACCUGACCGAGCUUAGACUCUUCACUACUAAAUUUAUGCUAAUGAAUGUCGGUUGUCAGAAGCAUGAAAUAAAACUUGUGAUCCAAAGGGGCAUAGCCCGACUUUCUAUCCUAUUUCGGUUUUAACAAGGUUUU